rnacentral:misc_RNA from 1 species
ACAAAGAGGUCAAGAAGAAAGAAGGUAUAUAAUUUUAUCUUCUGUUUAAAAUCUCGUUAUCUGCCCUGGCUACUUCAAACCCUUCUUUGUUUUGUGGUGUAAUGCUUCUAUGCUUUCAAAUUAGGGUCUAUUUGGCAUUUCAAAAUUAGGGUGUAUUUGGCAAUUAUAUUAAAGCAAUAUAUUAAUUAAAGGGUAUUAAAAAAGUUGGUUUAAAGUUAAAUUUAAUAUGUUGUGAUCCUAAGAACUGCAACACAAUUAAGCAAAAUUUUUCUUAGACUCCGCUUGUUUCCUGGAAUUUUUUUUUAAAAUAAAUUUCUCUUUUGAAGUCUUUUUUUAAAUUUUGAUAAUUUUAUUAAAAAGUAAAAAUAUUUAUAAAUUGUAAUUUAUGUAACUUGAAUUUUGAAUAUAUUUUUAUGUGACUCAAUCCGAAAUUUCUUGUUGUGAC